CCCCUCCCCCCCCGCGCGGCCGGCCGGCCAUGGCGUCGCAGCCGAGGCCGCCGCCGCCGCCGCGCCCCAAGACGCGGGGCAACUACAACUGCGGCCGCUGCGGCCAGCCCAAGAAGGGCCACGUCUGCGUCGCCCCCGUGCCCGUCGCGGCCUCCCCCUCCGGGGCCGCCCCGUCCCCGUCGCCCUCCACCUCGUCGGGCGCCGCCAGCGCCAGCGGCGGGGACCAGAGGCGCCGCCGCGCCCUCUCCUUCGACGAGGCGGGGACCCCGUCCUCGCCCGAGAAGAAGCCCAAGGUGGAGCCGGACGCGGAGAUGGAGGUGGCCGGCGGCGAGGACGACGAGGAGGAGGACGCGGUGAUUGAGGUGGGCGGGCGCCCGGUGCCCCGGGAGGUCAUGGCGGAGGUGCUGCGCCGGCUCGGGCCCCGCGGGGUCAUGGCCGCCGCGGGGGUCAGCCGCGGCUGGCGGGACUGCGCGGGCCGGGUCUGGCGGGCGGCCGACGAGCUCCGCCUCCGCGUCCUCGCCGCCUCGGGCGCUGGCCUCCUCGGCGCGCUGCUACCGCGGUGCCCCGCGCUCUCGCUCCUGCAACUCCGAAUGGAAAGCGAUGUUGAUGCCACUGCACUGGCAUGUCUUGCAGUUUCCUGCCCAAGUUUAAAAACUCUUGAGAUUACCAUGGCUGCCAAUGCAGUCAACAGGAUGACUGGAGAGGAUCUAAGUCGUUUUGUUUCGGAGAAGUCUUCUCUGUCAGUCCUCAAAAUUGGUGGUUGCUCUAAUUUGGAUUUUAUUAAUCUAUGCUCUUCAAGCCUUUCAGUUCUUUGGCUGUCAGAUCUUUGUUCCCUUUCAAACUCGGUCAUGAACUGUCCUAAUAUGAGUGAACUCUCACUGUGCUUCGCACAACAAAGUAAUGAUUGUACUGAUCUGGUUACUUUGAUGGAUGGCAUUGGUUGUACAUGCCCUAACUUAAACAAAAUGCACAUAUCGUCAAAUCAAUUAUCCAAUGAAGCUGUAUUUGCUCUAGAGAGUGCUAAUCUCAGGGGACUGUCAAUGCUAUCUUUGAUUCUAGGUUCAAAAAUAACUGAUGCAGCUGUUGCAUCUAUUGUUCGAUUGUGCACAAGCUUGGAGUUGCUUGAUUUAAGUGGAUCUAGCAUCAGUGAUAAUGGUGUUGGGAUGAUCUGCAAGGCGUUCCCUCAUACUUUAUCAAGGCUGCUCCUUGCCCUCUGCCCAAAUGUGACUACACGUGGGAUCCAGUUAGCCACGGCACAGUUGCCACAUCUUCAACUCAUGGACUGUGGAAUGAGCCUAUGUGCUAAUUUGAACAAUGACAAAGAAGGGCCAUGUUUAGGUGAAAUCAAUGGAGGCAUUAGAAUCAUUCGAAAGUUAUGCACCUUAAAAAAGCAACCUGUUCUUCAGAAGCUUAUUAUAAAGCAUGGUAAUUUGAAGAAACUCAGUCUGUGGGGUUGUUCAGCAAUUGAUGCUCUAUAUGUAAACUGUCCACAACUAAAUGAUCUCAAUCUCAACUCUUGCACAAAUUUACAUCCAGAACGUCUGCUUCUUCAGUGCCCAAAUUUGAAGAAUGUUCAUGCAGCUGGAUGCCAAGACAUGCUGGUUGGAGCAAUCAGAAAUCAGUUCCAGGAAACUUCACUGGCCGUCAACCUCAACAAAACAUGUUCUGGAUAGGCAGAUUCCUUGAUCUACCGGGACUGGUGCCAUCCACCUUUUGUGACUUCUUGUUAUCACCCAGGGCCCCAGGCAUUGCCGUCUUUCAAACUGAUGUCUGUGCGUGGCCACGAAUCACCUUAGGGCAAGCUACACUUGUGAUGAGGUGGCUCUGCCAUCCAUGGAUGUGUGUGGACAUUACUGCUGGUUCUGAAUGAGUUUGCUGCAGCUGAAUCAUCUCUUCCAUGCAAGCGGCUAGGGGACGGCUCCAAACGUGUUCAACUACCCCAAUUCCUACAACAUCAGCCGUCGGAGGAUGACAAAUUGUCUGAAUCGAGCCAGAUCCAGUGCACCAUGCAUCGUGACACCACCAGAGCCAGUUAACCGAGCAAUUGUACACACCUAAUUAUGCGAAUUAUGAACUGCAUAAGCUUAUUUUUUUGUGUGUAAUUACUGCAUUGCCUCAGAACCUGUAGUGUUUGUUGUAUAAGUUGCUAAUUGCUGUGUAGGACUCGCAUGAAUUCCAUCAUCUGUUUCUUGUAGAGCAACAAGUUUUUUUGCGGGUAGAGCAAUAAGUUGUAACAAUGACCUUGUAUUCUCUUGGGAGCAAUAAUGAUCCUGGAUCCUUUCAA